rnacentral:lncRNA from 1 species
AGUCAUAAAGCAGCAACAUAAAGCAAGCUCCCAACUCUAGUUCUCCAGGCAAUUCAUCCAGGCUGUCCCCUGCAAGCUGCUCAGCCCACCAGAUCUGCUUUGGGGAGCGCAUUAAACAUGGUUAUGCAAUGAUUGGGUGGCGGAUGCCAUAGACAUCUGGCCCUAUGACAAGGGCCAUCCAAAGCAAGAGCCUCUAGACCUCUGGGUGGUGAACAAAUCUCAACUGGGGUUUCGUGCCUACCUGGACGACAUCUGCUCGUCAAUGUGUAGUUAACAUCCUGACAGACCCUUCUGCCGCUGGAUAUGUGAGGGGCACAGCACAGGGCUCUGGAAGUCCCUGCUGACUGCUCGAAGCCUUUCUCCCUGCUAAAACCUCUGACCAAAUGCUUAAUAAUAUCUGCUGUAGGCUGUUGAGUCUGCCACACGUUUGACAUUUAUUGUUUAUUCCCACACCCAUCCCAUGAAACAAGCAGGACUUUCCAUUUUACAGAUGUGAAAACCAAGAUUCAAAGAGACUCAAUAACCUGCUCCAGGACAAAUGACAGAACUGAGACUUCUGACUCCAAAUCUUACGCUCCCCCGCCACACCUCUUUGCCUUUCUCUUUCACACCAAUGGACUCUAUG